rnacentral:ncRNA from 2 species
CAAUCAAGCUAGGGGUGCCCCACCGGGCUGAGAACAAACCCUUAGAACCUGAGACUGGGUAAUGCCAGCGAAGGGAAGCUAACUAUCAGAGGA